rnacentral:rRNA from 1 species
AGAGUUUGAUCCUGGCUCAGGACGAACGCUGACGGCGUGCUUAAUGCAUGCAAGUCGCACGAGGCCCCAUGGACGGGUAACCGUCCCGGGGUCCUAGUGGCGAACGGGUGAGUAACACGUGAGGAACCUGCCCCGGAAUCUGGGAUAGCCCAGGGAAACCUGGAUUAAUACCGGAUACCCUCGAUCGGUCGCAUGUCUGGUCGAGGAAAGGUCCGCCGUUCCGGGAUGGCCUCGCGGCCUAUCAGCUUGUUGGCGGGGUAACGGCCCACCAAGGCAACGACGGGUAGCUGGUCUGAGAGGACGAUCAGCCACACUGGGACUGAGACACGGCCCAGACUCCUACGGGAGGCAGCAGCAGGGAAUAUUGCACAAUGGGCGAAAGCCUGAUGCAGCGACGCCGCGUGGGGGAUGAAGGCCUCCGGGUCGUAAACCCCUUUCAGGAGGGAAGAAGCGCAAGUGACGGUACCUCCAGAAGAAACCCCGGCCAACUACGUGCCAGCAGCCGCGGUAAUACGUAGGGGGCGAGCGUUGUCCGGAUUCAUUGGGCGUAAAGAGCUCGUAGGCGGCUCGGUAAGUCGGCCGUGAAAUCUCGGAGCUCAACUCUGGGAGGCCGGUCGAUACUGUCGUGGCUAGGGUCCGGUAGAGGAGAGCGGAAUUCCUGGUGUAGCGGUGAAAUGCGCAGAUAUCGGGAGGAACACUCGUAGCGAAGGGCGGCUCUCUGGGCCGGUACCGACGCUGAGGAGCGAAAGCUAGGGGAGCAAACAGGAUUAGAUACUCCUGGUAGUCCUAGCUGUAAACGUUGGGCACUAGGUGUGGCGGAUUGAUUGACGUCUGCCGUGCCGUAGCAAACGCAUUAAGUGCCUCGCCUGGGGAGUACGGUCGCAAGGCUAGAACUCAAAGGAAUUG